AUGGUGAGCGGCGUGACUGGGGCGGCCGCGCCGGAGAGUGGUGCCGGGAGCAGUAGUGGCGUGGGAAGGGAGGAGACGAAAGGGAAGGGCAGUGCGCGCGCCAGGGGGAGCAGGAAGGCGAGCCGGCCGCGGUUCGCGUUCCAGACCAAGAGCGAGAACGACGUCCUCGACGACGGCUACCGGUGGAGGAAGUACGGCCAGAAGGCCGUCAAGAACAGCGCCUUCCCCAGGAGCUACUACCGGUGCACGCACCACACGUGCAACGUGAAGAAGCAGGUGCAGCGGCUGGCCAAGGACACGAGCAUCGUGGUGACCACGUACGAGGGCGUCCACAACCACCCCUGCGAGAAGCUCAUGGAGGCACUCAACCCCAUCCUCAGGCAGCUUCAGUUCCUCUCGCAGCUCUAA
rnacentral:rRNA from 1 species